CCUACGGGGGGCAGCAGUGGGGAAUAUUGCACAAUGGGGGAAACCCUGAUGCAGCGACGCCGCGUGAAGGACGAAGUAUUUCGGUACGUAAACUUCUAUCAGCAGGGAAGAAAAUGACGGUACCUGACCAAGAGGCCCCGGCUAACUACGUGCCAGCAGCCGCGGUAAUACGUAGGGGGCAAGCGUUAUCCGGAUUUAUUGGGUUUAAAGGGUGCGUAGGCGGUCCGGAAAGUCAGCGGUAAAAGCCCGGGGCUCAACCCCGGCGAGCCGUUGAAACUGUCGGACUAGAGACGGCGAGAAGGACG
rnacentral:rRNA from 1 species